rnacentral:pre_miRNA from 1 species
AGACAAACAGCAGGGUCACAUGUAAACAUUUCCUUAACUUUUUUUUUUUUUUUAAAGAAACUGCCAAAGUGUUUUCCAAAGAAGUUGUACCAAUUUACAUUUCCACUAGUAGU